rnacentral:rRNA from 1 species
GACGAACGCUGGCGGCGUGCCUAAUACAUGCAAGUCGAACGAAGUGGCGAACGGGUGAGUAAUACGUGGGUAACCUGCCCUCCUUUUUGGGAUAAGCCUUGGACACGGGGUCUACUACCGAAUAAAGGGGGAUGGGCUUGCGGCCUAUCAGCUUGUUGGGGGGGUAAUGGCCUACCAAGGCGGUGACGGGUAGCCGGCCUGAGAGGGUGACCGGCCACAUUGGGACGGAGAUACGUCCCAGACGUGUACGGGAGGGAGCAGUGGGUGAUAUUGCACAAUGGGCGAAAGCCUGAUGCAGCGACGCCGCUUGGGGGAUGCAGGCUUUCGGGUUGUAAAACUCUGUCGCUACCUAACGGGUAGGUGGAGAAGAAGCGCCGGCUAACUACGUGCCAGCAGCCGCGGUAAUUC